rnacentral:misc_RNA from 1 species
GAUGAAGAACGUAGCGAAAUGCGAUAAUUAAUGUGAAUUGCAGAAUUCCGUGAAUCAUCGAGUCUUUGAACGCACAUUGCGCCUCAUGGCAUUCCGUGAGGCAUGCCCAUCUCAGCGUUAGAAAAUAUUCUCAAAUUUUAGUUUUGUGCUAAAAUUUGGAUCAUGUCAAGGAAGCUAUUACUAUUAUUGUGAUCGCUCUUUGGAAAUUGAUAGGUCUUUGAGUUGCUACUCAUAGAACGUGAUGAAUCUUUCUUCGUUCUAUUGUAAUUCACUCUGGUAGUCCUAAAACUUGUGUGCCUGUGGCAUAUCUUGUAAUUUGACCUGAGAUUGGGUAGGGAUACCCGCUGAACUUAAGCAUAUCAAUAAGCGGAGGA